AGGCUGACAUCGAAAGUUUUCGACAGUUCUUCGCCGGAAUUAUGCUCACUUAUGAUUCUCCUGAUUAUUUGGCAAGUUUCGUUCGCGAACAGAUUGAAGAAUUCGAAAGGAAGGAUACUCUCUUGAACAAGCGUAGGAGGGAGCAUACUGAUUGAUAUUCUCAGAGCCCUGCAGGAGUAUGAAAUGUUGAAGUUCAAGACUAUGAAGAGCAAGCGUGUAAGGUUGAGAAGUUUGAGUGC